rnacentral:rRNA from 1 species
UACGUAGGUGGCAAGCGUUGUCCGGAUUUAUUGGGUUUAAAGGGUGCGUAGGCGGCCCUGUAAGUCAGUUGUGAAAUCUCCGGGCUUAACUCGGAAAGGUCAACUGAUACUGUGCGACUAGAGUGCGGAAGGGGCAACUGGAAUUCUCGGUGUAGCGGUGAAAUGCGUAGAUAUCGAGAGGAACACCUGCGGCGAAGGCGGGUUGCUGGGCCGACACUGACGCUGAUGCGCGAAAGCCAGGGGAGCGAACGGG